UACGUAGGGGGCAAGCGUUGUCCGGAUUUAUUGGGCGUAAAGAGCGUGUAGGCGGCUUUACAGGUCCGUUGUGAAAACUCGAGGCUCAACCUCGAGACGCCGGUGGAAACCGUAAAGCUAGAGUCCGGAAGAGGAAAGUGGAAUUCCAAGUGUAGCGGUGAAAUGCGUAGAGAUUUGGAGGAACACCAGUGGCGAAGGCGACUUUCUGGUCUGUAACUGACGCUGAGGCGCGAAAGCGUGGGGAGCAAACAGG
rnacentral:rRNA from 1 species